UACGUAGGGUGCAAGCGUUGUCCGGAAUUAUUGGGCGUAAAGAGCUCGUAGGCGGCUUGUUGCGUCAGCUGUGAAAACCCGCAGCUCAACUGUGGGCUUGCAGCUGAUACGGGCAGGCUUGAGUUCGGUAGGGGAGACUGGAAUUCCUGGUGUAGCGGUGAAAUGCGCAGAUAUCGGGAGGAACACCAGUGGCGAAGGCGGCGACCUGGGCAGAUACUGACACUGAGGUGCGAAAGCGUGGGGAGCAAACAGGGA
rnacentral:rRNA from 1 species